rnacentral:rRNA from 1 species
GAUGAACGCUGGCGGCGUGCCUAACACAUGCAAGUCGAGCGAACGGACGAGAAGCUUGCUUCUCUGAUGUUAGCGGCGGACGGGUGAGUAACACGUGGAUAACCUACCUAUAAGACUGGGAUAACUUCGGGAAACCGGAUCUAAUACCGGAUAAUAUUUUGAACCGCAUGGUUCAAAAGUGAAAGACGGUCUUGCUGUCACUUAUAGAUGGAUCCGCGCUGCAUUAGCUAGUUGGUAAGGUAACGGCUUACCAAGGCAACGAUGCAUAGCCGACCUGAGAGGGUGAUCGGCCACACUGGAACUGAGACACGGUCCAGACUCCUACGGGAGGCAGCAGUAGGGAAUCUUCCGCAAUGGGCGAAAGCCUGACGGAGCAACGCCGCGUGAGUGAUGAAGGUCUUCGGAUCGUAAAACUCUGUUAUUAGGGAAGAACAUAUGUGUAAGUAACUGUGCACAUCUUGACGGUACCUAAUCAGAAAGCCACGGCUAACUACGUG